ACCAGACUCCUACGGGAGGCAGCAGUGGGGGAUAUUGCACAAUGGGGGGAACCCUGAUGCAGCGACGCCGCGUGGGUGAAGAAGCGCCUCGGCGCGUAAAGCCCUGUCAGCAGGGAAGAAAAUGACGGUACCUGAAGAAGAAGCCCCGGCUAACUACGUGCCAGCAGCCGCGGUAAUACGUAGGGGGCAAGCGUUAUCCGGAUUUACUGGGUGUAAAGGGGGCGCAGACGGCGAUGCAAGCCAGGAGUGAAAGCCCGGGGCCCAACCCCGGGACUGCUCUUGGAACUGCGUGGCUGGAGUGCAGGAGGGGCAGGCGGAAUUCCUGGUGUAGCGGUGAAAUGCGUAGAUAUUAGGAGGAACACCAGUGGCGAAGGCGGCCUGCUGGACAUUAACUGACGCUGAGGCGCGAAAGCGUGGGGAGCAAACAGGAUUAGAUACCCCCGUACU
rnacentral:rRNA from 1 species